rnacentral:rRNA from 1 species
UAAUCCGACCUAGGCUCAUCUGAUAGCGCAAGGCCCGAAGGUCCCCUGCUUUCUCCCGUAGGACGUAUGCGGUAUUAGCGUCCGUUUCCGAGCGUUAUCCCCCACUACCAGGCAGAUUCCUAGGCAUUACUCACCCGUCCGCCGCUCUCAAGAGAAGCAAGCUUCUCUCUACCGCUCGACUUGCAUGUGUUAGGCCUACCGCCAGCGUUCAAUCUGAGCCAGGAUCAAACUCU